rnacentral:rRNA from 1 species
UACGUAGGGGGCAAGCGUUGUCCGGAAUCAUUGGGCGUAAAGAGCGUGUAGGCGGUCCGGUAAGUCGGUUGUGAAAGCCCAGGGCUCAACCCUGGGACGCCGACCGAUACUGUCGGACUAGAGUUCGGAAGAGGCGAGUGGAAUUCCCGGUGUAGCGGUGAAAUGCGCAGAUAUCGGGAGGAACACCUAUGGCGAAGGCAGCUCGCUGGGACGUUACUGACGCUGAGACGCGAAAGCGUGGGGAGCAAACAGG